GUUCAUGCGGAAAAAGGGCAGUCUGAUAAGAUGAACACUGAUGACCUAGAAAAUAGCUCCAUUACCUCAAAGCAGACUCCCCAACUGGUGGUCUCUGAAGAUCCAAUGAUGGUGUCAGCAGGACCAUCGGCAACAUCAUUAAAUAAAGCAUUCUCGAUUAACAAAGAAACCCAGUCUGGACAAGCUGGGCUCAUGCAGACUGAACACCCUGGUGUUUCCACUGCUACUGAGUCAGGUGUCCCCUCAGUUGAAGAAGUAUUUGGUUCCAGCCAGCCAGAGAGAAUAUCUCCUGAAAGUGGACUUGCCAAGGCCAUGUUAACCAUUGCUAUCACUGUGACUCCUUCUCUGACUAUUGAUGAAAAGGAGGAACUCCUUACAAGCACUAACUUUCAGCCCAUUGUAGAAGAGACCACAGAAACCACAAAAGGUUUUCUGAAGUAUAUGGAUAAUCAAUCAUUUGCAACUGAAAGUCAGGAAGGAGUUGGUUUGGGACAUUCACCUUCAUCCUAUGUGAAUACUAAGGAAAUGCUAACCACCAAUCCAAAGACUGAGAAAUUUGAAGCAGACACAGACCACAGGGCAACUUCUUUCCCUGGUGCUGAGUCCACAGCAGGCACUGAGCCUGGAGGCCUCACACCUGAUAAGGAGAAGCCGUCGCAGAUGACAGCUGAUAACACCCAGGCUGCUGCCACCAAGCAACCACUCGAAACUUCCGAGGACACCCUGAGUGUUGAGCCAGAAACUGACAGUCUGCUGGACGCCCCAGAAGUCACAGUGAGUGUCAGCACAGCUGUUCCAGCUGCCUCUGCCUUAAGUGAUGAGUGGGAUGACACCAAAUUAGAGAGUGUAAGCCAGAUAAGGACCCCCAAGCUUGGAGACAAUGAAGAGACUCAGACAUCAUCACUCAAGAGAUGACAACAGCUGUUCAAGAGCCAGAUACCACUUUGUCCACGGUGACACAAGAGCAGGUUGCUACCCUGGAGCUUAUCAGAGACAGUGGCAAGACCGAGGAAGAAAAGGAGGACCCCCCUCCUGUGUCUGACGUUCCUGGUGUUACUCAGCUGUCAAGAAGAUGGGAGCCUCUGGCCACUACAAUUUCAACUACAGUCGUCCCUUUGUCUUUUGAAGUUACUCCCACUGUGGAAGAACAAAUGGACACAGUCACAGGGCCAAAUGAGGAGUUCACACCAGUUCUGGGAUCUCCAGUGACAUCCCCUGGAAUAAUGGUGGAGGAACCCAGCAUUUCCCCUGCACUUCCUGCUUCGGAGGCGUCCUCUGAGAGAAGAACUGUUGUUCCAUCUAUUACUCACGUUAAUACAGCUGCCUCAUAUGGCCUGGACCAACUUGAAUCUGAAGAGUCGGGGUUUCACCAUGUUGCCCAGGCUCGUCUCAAACUCCUGGGCUUAAGAAGUCUGCCUGCCUCGGCCUCCCAAAGUGUUGGAAUUACAAGUGUGAACUCCUGCACCCAGCCAAGAAAAUAUUUAAACAGCUGCCUGAAAUGGAAAUUGAAUCCAAAACAUUUUGCCACUGGUGUUUGAAGUGGACUAUCUUGUCUCAAGCCUUUUUAUUUUCUCAUGAAUGUACCUUUUAAAUAUUGUUAAGGCUACAAUGGAGGAAAUUUUGAAUUAUUAUAUUUACUAUUAUACAGUGAAUGGAAAAUUUGAAAUUUAGUAAAAAGUUUUCAAAAAAUUUGUAUAGAUUAAUAAUGGAGUUUAAAAAGUAAUGGUGAUGAGGCAUUUAACAAGGAG
rnacentral:sRNA from 1 species